GGUUGCCCUGUGUAUCUUUGGCCCUUAAUGAGAUAGGAUGUCGUUUACACGUGCACACUAUUUUACAGGAAAAUACACCGGAAAGGUGGCAGCAUAGGUAUGCAGAAACCCUGUGUGUCCCCCCGGGUCUGUCACCCUGCAGCACAAGGCCUCUGCUGAGCAGGCACCCAGGUCAGCUCCCAAGGAACGAGGUGUGGGAGUGGAGGUGAGAGGCAGCUGGAGACACACAUAGGUCUGGAUACUGGAAAGGGCAGGGGAACCCAGUAGUGUUCUGAUGAGUGUGCAGCUGCUGUCUGGGUCCACUUCUAAGGUAUUUAAAAGAAAAAGGAAGAACCAGCACUGGAAUGAAAGCAGGCGGAAAUCCAGGCCUGUCUCUGGUGUUCCCAAAGCCAUUCCACAUGGGAGAAAGAAGGGAGUGUCUUCCAUAAGCCAUUCAGCCAAAGGACCACAUGUUGAAUUCCAAACCGGCACUGCAGUGACUUCAACAUCCGGGGAAGGACAUCUUGAAUGAGAGAGGUGGCCCUCAUCCCGAGGGUGCAUGCUUGUGCCAUUGUUUUUCCAAUGGAUGGAGAUUAAGUUUCUGAACAUGAGAGGAUCGUGAGGUAACAGCGUAAUAAGGAACACAGAAGAACUGGAAAACCUCUAACUAUCUGGAAACGAAUCAGUGUUUUCUUGAGCAGCACACUUACAUCAGUUACUAUUGCACUUGGAAUCUAAACAAAACAUGUCAUUCCCUGUCUUCUCCCCGCUGCCCUGUCCCCAGGAACAGGAGCACUCAGCAACAAUUUCAGCUGCAAUGUUGCUGUCAGCCAUCAAGGGAAUGGAGGAAAUUUGAAGGAGAAAAUUGAUGUGUUUGCUCCAAAGAUUCUUAAGAUGGAAGGUUCAGAUGAACUUCUGGAAGACAACUUAAUAACUGAGUAGUCAACAUCAACACAGAAUGUUAAAAUCUGAAUUGUAGAGUAUUUGCUAUCUCAAGGACUUUAAUAAAGGGAAAUGCAUUGCUUCCCAGGAGAGCUGAAAAACUUGAAUAUAAA